UAUCACUCCAUCAAUCUCCAGUUGCCCCACAAGGUGAGGAUUCAAGACAUAUUGUACUUGCGUUGCACUCUGAGCAAGGGUACGCUGCGUUUUCACGUUUCCACAUGGGCUUUCUACUCUUUGGCAACCGUAGGUCUCUAACAAUUAGAACUCUCCGCUUCAUGAAUCCAGUUAUAC